rnacentral:tRNA from 2 species
UGGGGUAUCGCCAAGUGGUAAGGCCUCGGCUUUUGGUGCCGAUAUUCGCAGGUUCGAAUCCUGCUACCCCAUCCA